GCCCCUGUAGCAUAAUUUAAUAAUGCACGUCCUCGACUAAGACGGCGAUGCAGGUUUGAAUCCUGCCGGGGGCA
rnacentral:tRNA from 1 species